rnacentral:lncRNA from 1 species
AAGGUUCUCUUCCUUUCUGUCUUCAAAGUGGGUCAUGAUGGGGAUUUCUCCCGUAACCGCCACCGCUGGCCUGACCAUUGGCCACGCAGGAGGAGGAUACCUCGACGGGGCCGGAGCCACACGUCGCGUUGGGCCGGUGCUCCACGACGUCACUGCCGACCGCUGCUGGGUCGCGUGCGGACGAACAAUCAGCCGCCUCUACCGUCGGCAUCAGUGCCGUCGGAGGCAGCGCUGGAAGACGUCGAUCCGCCAAGCGCCGGGAGGAUUCACCACACAGUGGCAGUGCGCUGCCGUCGCGCUUGGAAUGGACGAGCCGCUGGGGCCACGACGGAGGUUAUGGCCGCGCUGGCGUUGCCUGGCAGAGAGCCGGCCUUAGGCCGUUGCCGCCACAGGAGGGGGCGUGGUCGCAGACGCUGUCGUGACACGUGAGCCUUGCUGUCAUACGCGCUCGCAUGAAGGGCUUCAUGGCGCAUCGGCCGUUGGCCGAGGGCCCUGCCGCGCCUUAGUUCCGAUGGGACCGCGUCCUCGGACGUCGCCGGGACGCCAUGAGCUGGGCAAGCCAGCCUUCGUUACGUUAGGUUGCCGCCCUGAUUGAGUAAGGCAAGUCUGUAGUGCUCAUUUCAAGCAAUCGAUGCAUAUACAAACCGAAUGAUGAUUGAUGCAUGUUGAUCGAUUCUCCUGUAUAGGAGCAUGCAUCUUAUGCCAGCGCCUGACGUGGUCACUGCAUUCAGCGCUGAUGAUGGCCGGGAGCAGUUUCCGUGUUCUUGCCGGUGAGAAGGACGAGGCAUCCACCACAGGAGAGAGCGUCACAGCCGUCGCCCUGCAUGGCAUGGCUCCGAUGCAGACUUUAUCUUUCUCUCACUUCUUGUCCAACGAACCAUCGGCGGUGUUGUGUGUCCAUGGCCCUUUCGCUCUUGUUUAGAGACUAGCGUGGCUGAUAACGUAUUGGAGUAAAACGAGAUUGAAUGAAUGUAAUGAACGAUCAGUCAUGAUUUCUGUUGAUUUUCAAGUAUAUAUACAUCUGGAAGAGGUGCGAAGAAGAGGUGUCUGUUCGGAAACAUUCCUCCAGAACAGAUGUUUGUUGGCAAUAGAGAGAGAAGACACGACUGUUCAGGGUUGGACACAUCCCUUGACUAAUUAAUCUACUAAUUAAUUUCUAACAGGUUGAACCAACACCUUCACGAGACCAUCACCAGCAUGCACCGACUCGUAUCAUCCAUCAUGAUCGCAUCUUCAAAUAGCCAUUCCUUCUCGAAGUUCAAGAAUGAUUUC